ACGCUUAACUGACUAAGCCACCCAGGCAUUCCCUUCUGCUGAUCAUUUUAACGAGGACCUUUGACGUUUCCUAAUUGCUGCCUGCUCCAGAGAAGGGCGAUGCUACGGAACUUUCUCAGUAAAAUGAUAAAGGUGACUCAGGAUACCGGGCGGACCAUUUUUCACCCAGAGAUGGUCUUGCAUCUCGGAAGCCCCAGCCUCUAGCAGGAAGCUCGGCAUCCAGAAACUUCUCAACGAAGGUUUGCUGAAUAACUGAAUGAAUGGUGAAUGAAGGAAGUCUUCUUCUGGAGGCUCAGUCUG